GUGGUGCUGAGGAUCAAACCCAGUGCCUCACACAGGCUAGGCAAGCACUCGACCACUGAGCUACAGCACCAGCCCUAUGUUUGCUUUUUAAGCCAAUUUAUUACACCUAAGAAAUAGAGUGUGUGGCUAUAACUUUGAUUAGUGCCACUACUGGAGAUAAAGGACCAUACAGGUCUAACCUGUGGUCUCUCUUCUGUUUCUGAGGUAAGAACCUCAUGGCAUGGAUGGCCCUAGACACGGGUUUCUGUUGAGAUUGGCAGUUGUUUUCUUCCCCAGACUUUAGAAACUUAGGAAAGAGGGUGUUCUUGAAAAGGAGAAGUUUAAGAAGAUACUUAUGAGCAGAAAAAGCAUCAGAGCUGCAUUACCUGGGCACACAGAAUGUGCCACAUGCCCCUAUACUCUUUCACUUAGUCCCCACAAGAAUAGAGUGCAAUGGGGACUCACAGAUGAGUAUUUGAGACCCGGUUACACACUUGGCCCAAAGUCAGACAGCUAGGACUUCAUUUGCUUCCUGAUACAGCUGUAGGUAUUUGCCCCCCCCUGGCCACACUGCCCCAUGGGAAAUGUUACCAGUCAUUAAACCAGAAGCAGGAAAGUGGUGUGUUUCCAAACACUCAACUGGGAAACUCAGGUAUCUAAUGCUAGCCUGGAUUCUUUUUGAGUUGUACAUGGACACAAUCCCUUUAUCUCAUUUAAUUGUAUGUGGUGCUGAGGAUCAAACCCAGUGCCUCACACAGGCUAGGCAAGAGCACUACCACUGAGCCAUAACCCCAGCCAAAGGAGGCGACUCUUAAUGGGUAGAAUACGUGUUCUGCCUCCCUCUCCCCUCUCCCUGGGCUGGUGUGAGGCUGCCCUGCCUCCCUGGGAUCAGCAGGUCUGGAGAAAUGGCUGUCCUGCUCCAAGCCAGUGUAACAAAAGAAGGGAAUGGACCAAGUACCCAUGCUUCAAGACCUGGCCCACACAGUAGACGCCAGAUCUGAGAAUCAGCAGAGCCCUGCUGCUGUUUUUACUACUGGCUAACAAACAGCUGGCUGAAGUUUCUAAGCUAGGCCAUGAGGGACUAGUUGCCAUGAUCAGCUCGAAAGGAACCCAGCUCAGCAAGGCCACCUAUUCUCCGUGCCUCUUCAGGUGACCCCACAGUGGAGAUUACUGCCUGAGGUGGCUGGAUCACACAAUGUAGAGACAGAGUGACAGCGCCUUCUCACACCAUUGACAAAUGAAAAUCAAAGUUGACUUCCUGUUUCUGUGUGAGCGCACAUCGCUCCCUCAAACCAUGAAAUCCACAGGCCUCUGGGCUGGCUCCCCAGGCUGCGAGCUGAUGGGCACUUGGGGACUAGCUGUACAUUUUAGUAGUCACCUGUGCAGAAAAUAAUCCAGGAAGAAAAGCUGCUAUGCACCCGCUAAUGUCAUAUAAUUUAUCCCAAGGAAAAAUAUAAAUUCCAGAUUUAUUUGUAUCUCUGCUUCCUUCCACCAGGAUGCUGAAUGAAAUAUUUUUCUGAUAACCACACAUGGUGAUUGCUUUUGGAAAGCUGAGCAUAUUCGUCUUUCCCUCCGUACCAUUUGUUUCUGAGGAGCUGAGCUGAGCUCAGCCCAACCAGCCAUACCCCAGCAGGUUCAGGGGCUAUAAAGUAAGUGGAAUGGGUAUCAAUUCUGCCCACCCAGGGUGAGAGACCAUUCCGAGGCUGGCUUGGCCCCUGUAGAAUAUAUAAACAAAUUGGGUGAAUGACAGAGUCUGAAAACAUACCAGGCAGCCCCAUGAACUAGGCUGCCUUCUCCCCCAUGUUACAUGAGCUCAAAGAAGCUAAGACAUUUGCCCUUGACUGAGCCCGGGUAUUGAUUUGGAGCUAUAUGAUCAUGAACAUGACCCCCAACAUACCGGAAAGGUUACUCCCCAGCCCCAAGAGACAAACUGGCAAUGAGCUCAAAGGAAGCAACCGUAAAUGGCAGAGCAAAGGGAACAUGGACUCACCUCCCAAUGGAGGCCCUGGGAAAAGCGCUCAGUUGACCACAGAACAUGCCAGGUGCUGGUCCCAGCCAUGCCAACACAUGUGGGUGAGCUGGCCUCUCGCAUGCUGCUUCCCUUCCUGUAAAGGUAUCACCCUUGCACACACUUGUCUUUCUAGCACCAAUAUUUGGAUGUUACAGCACUAGAAUUUGCAAACAAAAUGUGAAACAGGUAAUUUUUGCUCAAAAGAAAUGCUUGUUUGCAAAAGGAGAAGAUGGUCAUUGGUCAACAUUGGAAGCAGCUGAUUACAUUUGAGAAUGAGAAAUCCAUUGACAUUGGCUCCGAGAUUUGGAGCCACUUUUUUUUUUCCCUUGAAUUGGCUUUAUUGAGGUAUAAUUCACAUACAAUGCCUGUGCAUAAUUAAAAUGUACAAUUUGAUAAAUAAUGACAUGUAUAUCCAUGAAAGCAUGACUACAGUCAAAGCAAUGAAGACAAAUCCUCUUCUCCUUCAAAACUGCCCCCUUUUUUAUAUCCAGUGAACCCAUCCAGGUUUCUAGUUAACUUUGUUGAAAGUUUUUAACAAGAAACACGAUCCCUUUAACAGAAAUAGAGCCUCAGGAUGUGGGUUCUCUAAUCACCUCACUGAUUGUUUCUUUUGCCGAGAAGAUUUAAUUUACCCCUCACACAUCAGAUAGAGCACUAAACUCUAGGGUAUAUAAAGAACUCAAGAAGCUAAACACCAAAAAAAGCAAAUAGCCCAAUCAAUAAAUGGGCCAAGGACCUGAACAGACACUUCUCAGAAGAUGAUGUACAAUCAAUCAACAAAUAUAUCAAAAAAUGUUCAUCAUCUCUAGCAAUUAGAGAAAUGCAAAUCAAAACUAUUCUAAGAUUUCAUCUCACUCCAGUCAGAAUGGCAGCUAUUAUGAAGACAAACAACAAUAAGUGUUGGUGAGGAUGUGGGGGGAAAGGCACACUCAUACAUUGCUGGUGGGACUGCAAAUUGGUGUAGCCAAUAUGGAAAGCAGUAUGGAGAUUUCCUUGGAAAGCUGGGAAUGGAGCCACCAUUUGACCCAGCUAUCCCUCUCCUUGGUCUAUACCCAAAGGACUUAAAAACAGCAUACUACAAGGACACAGAAUGUUUAUAGCAGCACAAUUCACAAUAACUAAACUGUGGAACCAACCUAGAUGCCCUUCAGUAGAUGAAUGGAUAAAGAAAAUGUGGUAUGUAUUCACAAUGGAAUAUUACUCACAAUAAAAGAGAAUAAAAUCAUGGCAUUUGCAGGUAAAUGGAUGGAGUUGGAGAAGAUAAUGCUAAGUGAAGUUAGCCAAUCCCAAAAAACCAAAUGCCAAAUGUUUUCUCCGAUAUAAGGAGGCUGAUUCAUAGUGAGGUUGGGAGGGGGAGCAUGGGAGGAUUAGAUGAACUCUAG
rnacentral:lncRNA from 1 species